GUGCUAAUAAUUGUUUGUGUGAUCGUCAGGGCCUCUUUAAUCUGGUCAUGUUAAUUGAAGAGGGUUAUGAAGUUCCUGACAUCAUUCUGGAUCAGAUGGGACUCUCAGAUGCACACAAUGUGAGCCGGAGCGCUGUGGUGGCAAAUCUAUUAUCCAGGUGCAGGGCGUUUGAGGAGGGGGAUGUGACUCCAUGUUCAUUAGUCCUGUGGAGGAUGGAGCUGAUGCGAGCGUGGAGAGACUUCACACAGCUCUGUUCAGCUGACGCUGGCCUGUGGGGUUUUCGCCACACUCGCAGUUUCUGUAUUCGCUGUGCUGUUACGAACUCUUCUGGCAUGUUACUCUGCGCUUUACCUAUCAACCAGCCAAUCAUCAGAGAGACAUGAUGAACCUGAACUUGCCGGGCAGGAAAUCAGCGACAGUCCUCUGGAGACCAGAAGAGAAAACCAACAGCAGAGUUACCAGCCUACAGUCGCACACAAUCACCUUUCAGUGCAGAAAACCUCUGAUUUAAUCGUGACAGUGACUGGAGUGUGUGCAUGUGUCAUCUUUAUCAUGUUCAUUUCCCAUCUGCUUUGAAAAGAACAUACAACUAUAUCCUUCAAUAGGUUAUACAUCAGCCGUCACUAUCGAUCAACACUCUUCAACUCAGGUUACUGCAGGAGAACUGAACCAGUAUAUAUGCACCUUAAGUUGCUUUGGAUAAAAGCAUGAACAAAAUGGC
rnacentral:lncRNA from 1 species